GGGCCUAUAGCUCAGUGGUAGAGCCACCGGCUCAUAACCGGUUGGUCCUUGGUUCGAACCCAAGUGGGCCCACCA
rnacentral:tRNA from 6 species